GAUGUAGAACGUAGCGAAACGCGAUAUGUAAUGUGAAUUGCAGAAUUCAGUGAAUCAUCGAAUCUUUGAACGCACAUGGCGCCUUCCAGUAUCCUGGGAGGCAUGCCUGUCCGAGCGUCGUUUCAACCCUCGAGCCCCCGUGGCCCGGCGUUGGGGAUCUGCCCAGGCAGUCCCCGAAAACCAGUGGCGGACCCGUUACAGGCCCUUCCCUUGCGUAGUAGCAUUCGCCUCGCAUCGGGAGCCGGCGGGCUUCCAGCCUCUAAACCCCCAUCAAGUCCGCCCCGGCGGCACCAAGGUUGACCUCGGAUCAGGUAGGAAUACCCGCUGAACUUAAGCAUAUCAAUAAGCGGAGGA
rnacentral:misc_RNA from 1 species